rnacentral:tRNA from 1 species
GGGUUCAUAGCUCAAAGGUAGAGCAUUUGGCUGUAGAUCAAGAGGUCGUUUGUUCGAAUCCGCUGGGCCCU